GAUGAACGCUGGCGGCGUGCUUAACACAUGCAAGUCGAACGAUGAAGCCCAGCUUGCUGGGUGGAUUAGUGGCGAACGGGUGAGUAACACGUGAGUAACCUGCCCUUAACUCUGGGAUAAGCCUGGGAAACUGGGUCUAAUACCGGAUAGGAGCGCCUACCGCAUGGUGGGUGUUGGAAAGAUUUAUCGGUUUUGGAUGGACUCGCGGCCUAUCAGCUUGUUGGUGAGGUAAUGGCUCACCAAGGCGACGACGGGUAGCCGGCCUGAGAGGGUGACCGGCCACACGGGGAGAAAGAUGAGGCCAGGACUACUACGGGAGGCAGCAGGGCGGAAUAUUGCACAAUGGGCGAAGGCCUGAUGCAGCGACGCCGUGUGAAGGAUGACGGACUUCGGGUAGUAAACCACUUCCAGCAGGCAAGAAGCGAAAGUGAAGGUGCCUGAAGAAGAAGCACGGGCUAACUACGUG
rnacentral:rRNA from 1 species